UCAAUGCAGACCAGGCUAAGUACAAAGAAAAACUGCUUUCGGCCCCAGCUGACUGUGAAAAAAUAUAGACAUAGUCAAACCAAAGGCAAUACAAGUUACAGUGCUGAGAUUACAUUUGCAAAGCUUAACUGUCCAGUGAGAUCCAACAGUCUGCCUUUGCGACCCUGGAGCCGGCGUGGUUUGGGGACGCUGAAGAAGCCACAGACAGCCGGCCUGGACUGGAAUCACUGAAAAGACGCCCCAGGAGACCUCAGGGUGUAAAAGAACUGCCCUCCCAAGAGAGGAAGCAAGUUGGAGAUUGCACAGCACCUUCUCUGAACGUUAUACACAGACGUGGCCAGUCUGGACGUACGUGUAUAAAAGAAGUGCUACCCAAAGACCCUAGCAGCCCUGCCAUUCAUUGAAACAAGGAGACUGAGUCUACGUAAAGUCCAUCAACGAAAGACUGCUUUGGCUCCACACUGGAAAGGCCCUUUCCAAGUCCUGUUAACCACCACCACUAUGAAGUGCCAAGGACUACCUGCCUGGACCCAUGCUUCUCACUGUAAAAAGACCCCUCCACCUCGGGAGGACUCUCCGACUGAUAAGCCUAUUUCUCCUUCUAGCUCUGCUGUGUCUUCUGGACAGCAGGAAAAAGAAAGAAAGAAAAAAAAAAAAGACAAGGUGAAGUGCUAGUAACCUCUCCCUUGUCCACUGACAGACCUACUGUGCCUCUGGAUUUUUCUAGAAGAAGCAAAACCAUUACAGGGUGAUGUGCUAGUAACCUCUCCCCUGUAUGAUGCUAAACCACACUGUUUCAGGAAAAGAGAAGAAGGAACACUUACUUCAUUGAAACCACAAAGUCCAGGGAUUCCUGACUACAAGAGACAUUAAGAACUGACCCUGGUGAAGAAACAAAGAAUUAUACACUGGCAGGAAGAAACUUGUGGGACCCAUGCUUGGGAACGUGGUAUUGAUUGGAUUUUGGGGUUUAUUCUACAGGCUGCGCCCUGUGUUUUGGAUAAGUCCUUCAGCAUGUAUUGCCCUCCCUAAUUGGAUUUUAAAUGAUAAGUACCAAAGGCACCUUGUUGCCAUUGCCCCUGCCAUCUCCUCCAUUACACUAUUACCCCUGUAACACAUCCAAAUACAGACAAUGCCAUAUAUUUGAUAAAACCAAUGACUAAGGCCUUCACACUUUAGUGAUUUAUUUAAAUAUUGUUUGAAAAAAUAUAUUUUUAAGGUUCAGGAUAUCCCAUAUAAGCGAACAAUUGAAUGGAUCAGUGGAGAUAAAAGUAUAUGAUAUCACUACCAGUGAACCCCAAGAAUUUAUAAUUGUUCACAGGGGGCUGCCAUUAGAUUAGCACAACAGAGGGCUUGGGUUAUUUCCUCUAGAAAGAAGAGAGACUUGACCGGAUCCCUUUGGGAUGGGGCCAAUAAUGCAGCAGCAGUUUGGAAUAUUUUUAAGAACCAAGAACAUGAUGAGAAAUUGGGGCAACUAGAGAAGGCCAUUGGCCUUGUUUCUGGAGCACAACUAACCCAGGUACAGGCUGGAGUUGGUGUGUUACAUGUUAUUUCCGCCCUUAGUUCAAUGACCCAGAAGUUGCUGACAGAGAUGGUAUUGAAUAUCACUGAGGCUGGGAAGGCAUUGCAGUGGGAUCUAGCAUGCUCAGAAAUUCAGGAUUUCCUGAAUGACCAGCUAAUGGCCAUUCGGAAUGAUCUAGAGCAUCAGGCUUGGCCCACUGCCCUUACAGACACAUCAGGAGUACCAUCUGAUCUGUGGCCAUGGAGACACACUUGGAAACUUUCUGGGUGGAAGUGUGGACGUUCUCAGUGCUCCUUCCAAGCAUAUGGACCGGUUCAGGGGGUGUGGGCUCCCACAUACCGAAUCCUGCCGGGUCCAUGGGGGAGGAUGCAUGUGGGAUUGGGUAAUUCACCGAGACAUCUGGGAAAUUAGACCUCCUGGUAUGCCCAAUCGAUUUUUAGUCAGUGCUCCUGGGAUUACAUCUGACAUUUGGAUGGGGUUAGGGAGUCAAUGGACAUUUUGGCCGUUACAACCCCCACAGCUUCAGUGUAUCCGUAAACUGAAGCCAGGAGAAGUUGUUACUCUUCAUGACUACGUUUGCUAGGAGGGUAGGGGACAAGGAACUACCCUGACAGGACACUUAUUUUUUUAAGCUAAUGAUAGCUGUGUGUAUGUUAAAGCCACCAUAUUGCAAGACAUACAUUUUAAUCUCAUUACCACUGCAGACAAUCAUAUUAUUUACUGGCCUGCAGAUAGAAUUUUGCAAGUAGUCCUUAGGUUCCAGAUACCCUUUAAUUGGACUAGUUUAGUACCUGAUAGAUUUCAAAAUUUGCUUUCACUGUUACCAGAGGUUCAGAAAAUCUCUGAAGUACAAGGGCAAAUUCACAUGCUUCAAAAUAUGUAUCAAGUUAAAAAGUAUGCCUUUCAGACAGCUUAUAGAGUAUCCACCUUAUGUACUAAGUAUGAUGUAUUGUGUUAUAUGACUAAGAUUGUACAACAACCCCAUCAUAUUAUUGCUAUGGGAAUCUUAUUGCUUGUGUUGUGCAGGAGUAUGUUAUUGUUGUUGUAAAGGACGUAAUAAUAGUAAUACCUUUCAUGUCCAUGCUCAUCAUGCAUUGUCAUUACAUCCAAUCAAAACCCCUAAGGUUGAAGCAUCUGAUGUAGAAUCUGAAUUCCGAGAUUUAAUGCAAAUAGAGAUUUGAAA